rnacentral:rRNA from 1 species
UGGGGAAUUUUGCGCAAUGGGGGAAACCCUGACGCAGCAACGCCGCGUGGAGGAUGAAGUCCCUUGGGACGUAAACUCCUUUCGACUAGACGGGCCUCCGGGUGAACAAUCCGGAGGAGUGACGGUACCGGUGGAAGAAGCCCCGGCUAACUUC